GUCUAUGGUCAUACCACCCUGACCGCACCCGAUCUUGGAAGCUAAGCAGGAUCGGGCCUGGUUAGUACUUGGAUGGGAGUACCAAGCACAAAAGGAAAAACCCAGCUACUAUAGUGU
rnacentral:rRNA from 1 species